rnacentral:rRNA from 1 species
UACGUAGGUGGCAAGCGUUGUCCGGAUUUACUGGGCGUAAAGAGCGCGCAGGCGGUCGUUCAAGUCGCGUGUGAAAGCCCCCGGCUCAACUGGGGAGGGUCACGCGAUACUGAUCGACUCGAAGGCAGGAGAGGGAAGUGGAAUUCCCGGUGUAGUGGUGAAAUGCGUAGAUAUCGGGAGGAACACCAGUGGCGAAGGCGACUUCCUGGCCUGUUCUUGACGCUGAGGCGCGAAAGCUAGAGGAGCAAACGGG